UACAGAGGUCUCAAGCGUUGUUCGGAUUCAUUGGGCGUAAAGGGUGCGUAGGCGGCGCGGUAAGUCGGGUGUGAAAUCUUGGGGCUUAACUCCGAAACUGCAUUCGAUACUACCGUGCUUGAGGACUGGAGAGGAGACUGGAAUUUACGGUGUAGCGGUGAAAUGCGUAGAUAUCGUAAGGAAGACCAGUGGCGAAGGCGGGUCUCUGGACAGUUCCUGACGCUGAGGCACGAAGGCCAGGGGAGCAAACGGG
rnacentral:rRNA from 1 species